rnacentral:rRNA from 1 species
AGUGAACGCUGGCGGUAGGCCUAACACAUGCAAGUCGAACGGCAGCACAGUAAGAGCUUGCUCUUACGGGUGGCGAGUGGCGGACGGGUGAGGAAUACAUCGGACUCUACUUUUUCGUGGGGGAUAACGUAGGUAAACUUACGCUAAUACCGCAUACGACCUACGGGUGAAAGCAGGGGAUCUUCGGACCUUGCGCGAUUGAAUGAGCCAAUGUCGGAUUAGCUAGUUGGCGGGGUAAAGGCCCACCAAGGCGACGAUCCGUAGCUGGUCUGAGAGGAUGAUCAGCCACACUGGAACUGAGACACGGUCCAGACUCCUACGGGAGGCAGCAGUGGGGAAUAUUGGACAAUGGGCGCAAGCCUGAUCCAGCCAGACCGCGUGGGUGAAGAAGGCCUUCGGGGUGGAAAGCCCUUUUGUUGGGAAAGAAAAGCAGCAGGUUAAUACCCCGCUGUUCUGACGGUACCCAAAGAAUAAGCACCGGCUAACUUCGUG